rnacentral:rRNA from 1 species
AACCUACGGGGGGCAGCAGUGGGGAAUAUUGGGCAAUGGGCGAAAGCCUGACCCAGCAACGCCGCGUGAAGGAAGAAGGCUUUCGGGUUGUAAACUUCUUUUGACAGGGAAGAGCAGAAGACGGUACCUGUCGAAUAAGCCACGGCUAACUACGUGCCAGCAGCCGCGGUAAUACGGAGGAUCCGAGCGUUAUCCGGAUUUAUUGGGUUUAAAGGGUGCGUAGGCGGCGCUUCAGGUCAGCGGUGAAAUACCGGGGCUCAACCCCGGGGCUGCCGUUGAAACCGGAGCGCUAGAAUUCCGAUGCC